rnacentral:sRNA from 1 species
UGUUCCCAGUCUAGUGUAAAAGAAGCAAACGCAAAAUCAAAAUGAAUUUCUUGAACAUUUUCGUUUUUAUUGCCGUUGUAUUGGCCCUAUUCACUGCCCCAAUCGAUGCCAGAAGGAAGGGCGGUAAACCAAGAAACACCGACAAAUAUUGGAGAGCAGGGGCCCAUGUUGCCGGAAAGGCCGUUGAAGGAGUAGCUGCUGCAGCAGUCCAACAAGCUGGUUAGUUAUCUUAUAUUUCUGCAGAAGGAGCCGGUGCUGCGGUAAUCUGUCAGGGUGCUUACCUUACAUUUCUGUAGAUAACUCGACUUGGUGGCCACACAAUGUGGGCGCAUAAAUAAAUGCAUGAAAAUUAAAA